GGAUUAGAUACCCUGGUAGUCCACGCCGUAAACGAUGUAUACUAGUUGUCGGGUAUUAACUCGGUGACGCAGCUAACGCAUUAAGUAUACCGCCUGGGGAGUACGGUCGCAAGAUUAAAACUCAAAGAAAUUGACGGGGACCCGCACAAGCGGUGGAGCAUGUGGUUUAAUUCGAAGCAACGCGAAGAACCUUACCCACCUUUGACAUACUAGUUUGGGAUAGUGGAGACACUUUCUUUCAGUUCGGCUGGGCUAGAUACAGGUGCUGCAUGGCUGUCGUCAGCUCGUGCC
rnacentral:rRNA from 1 species